rnacentral:rRNA from 1 species
UACAGAGGUCCCGAGCGUUGUUCGGAUUCACUGGGCGUAAAGGGCGCGUAGGUGGCCCGGUCAGUUCGUGGUGAAAGCGCGGGGCUCAACCCUGCGUCGGCCAUGAAUACUGCCGCGGCUGGAGCACUGUAGAGGCAGGCGGAAUUCCGGGUGUAGCGGUGGAAUGCGUAGAGAUCCGGAAGAACACCGGUGGCGAAGGCGGCCUGCUGGGCAGUUGCUGACACUGAGGCGCGACAGCGUGGGGAGCAAACAGG